rnacentral:lncRNA from 1 species
UAUAAAUUGGGAUAAAAAAAUCAAAGAGGGAGAGGGCAGUUUUGAGUAUUAAGAAAACUAGAGAAAAUAGAGAGAAAUAGAGUGUUUCGCUGCCAUUCCAACUUCACACAACCGUGCACCACCACUCGUCUUUGUCUUCAAUAUCACGUGCACCACCGCCUCUGUUCCAUAUUUGAAUAGGCAUGUAUUUUCUUUGCUUUUCAAAUUUUAUAUUUUGAAUCUAGAGAUUAUUUAGUUGAAAGAUGAAAUCUUUGUUUGAAUAUGAACGAUACUUUGGCUGAGAUAUUUUGUAUACUGAUUUUGCAUGAGAUGCUUUGGAUUGUGUUUAGAAUGUUU